UGGGGAAUAUUGCACAAUGGGGGAAACCCUGAUGCAGCGACGCCGCGUGAGGGAUGACGGCCUUCGGGUUGUAAACCUCUUUCAGUAGGGAAGAAUUUGACGGUACCUGCAGAAGAAGCGCCGGCUAACUACGUGCCAGCAGCCGCGGUAAUACGUAGGGCGCAAGCGUUGUCCGGAAUUAUUGGGCGUAAAGAGCUCGUAGGCGGCUUGUCGCGUCUGCCGUGAAAACCUGCAGCUUAACUGUGGGCUUGCGGUGGGUACGGGCUGGCUUGAGUGCAGUAGGGGAGACUGGAAUUCCUGGUGUAGCGGUGGAAUGCGCAGAUAUCAGGAGGAACACCGGUGGCGAAGGCGGGUCUCUGGGCUGUUACUGACGCUGAGGAGCGAAAGCAUGGGGAGCGAACAGG
rnacentral:rRNA from 1 species